rnacentral:rRNA from 1 species
UACGGAGGGGGCGAGCGUUAUUCGGAAUUAUUGGGCGUAAAGGGCGCGUAGGCGGCCCUGCAAGUCAAAGGUGAAAUCCCUCGGCUCAACUGAGGAACUGCCUUUGAAACUGCGGGGCUUGAGGCCGGGAGGGGGUAGCGGAAUUCCCAGUGUAGCGGUGAAAUGCGUAGAUAUUGGGAGGAACACCAGUGGCGAAGGCGGCUACCUGGACCGGUUCUGACGCUGAGGCGCGAAAGCGUGGGGAGCAAACAGG